rnacentral:rRNA from 1 species
GGAAUUUUCCGCAAUGGGCGAAAGCCUGACGCAGCAACGCCGCGUGAGUGAUGAAGGCCUUCGGGUCGUAAAGCUCUGUCGCAGGGAACGAAAGGGAUGACGGUACUCUGCAAGAAAGCCCCGGCCAACUCCGUGCCAGCAGCCGCGGUAAAACGGAGGGGGCGAGCGUUGUUCGGAAUUACUGGGCGUAAAGGGCGCGUAGGCGGUCAUGCAAGUCGGGGGUGGAAGCCCACGGCUUAACCGUGGAAUUGCCUUCGAAACUGCAUGACUUGAGUACGGAAGAGGAGAGCGGAAUUCCCAGUGUAGCGGUGAAAUGCGUAGAUAUUGGGAGGAACACCGGUGGCGAAGGCGGCUCUCUGGUCCGAAACUGACGCUGAGGCGCGAAAGCUAGGGGAGCAAACGGGAUUAGAUACCCCUGUAGUC